AUUGAACGCUGGCGGCAGGCCUAACACAUGCAAGUCGAGCGGAUGAAGGGAGCUUGCUCCUGGAUUCAGCGGUGGACGGGUGAGUAAUGCCUAGGAAUCUGCCUGGUAGUGGGGGAUAACGUCCGGAAACGGGCGCUAAUACCGCAUACGUCCUGAGGGAGAAAGUGGGGGAUCUUCGGACCUCACGCUAUCAGAUGAGCCUAGGUCGGAUUAGCUAGUUGGUGGGGUAAAGGCCUACCAAGGCGACGAUCCGUAACUGGUCUGGGAGGAUGAUCAGUCACACUGGAACUGAGACACGGUCCAGACUCCUACGGGAGGCAGCAGUGGGGAAUAUUGGACAAUGGGCGAAAGCCUGAUCCAGCCAUGCCGCGUGUGUGAAGAAGGUCUUCGGAUUGUAAAGCACUUUAGGUUGGGAGGAAGGGCAGUAAGUUAAUACCUUGCUGUUUUGACGUUACCAACAGAAUAAGCACCGGCUAACUUCGUG
rnacentral:rRNA from 1 species